rnacentral:snRNA from 1 species
GUGAGGGUAAUCUGGCUGCGACAUCUGUCAUCCCAUUGAUUGCUAGGGUUGAUUCGGCUGAUCUGACUGGCUAGGCUUCUUCCCUCACUGCUCUAUGUGCGUCUCUCCCGAAGAUGAGAGCUCAGUGAAAGAGGACAGCGUCCCAGGUAUAGAGGCGUGUAUAGAGGCAAUGUCUCCAGUCUUUGGUUCCGGGUAUACAAUA